rnacentral:rRNA from 1 species
UACAGAGGUCCCGAGCGUUGUUCGGAUUCAUUGGGCGUAAAGGGUGCGUAGGCGGCGCGGAAAGUUGGGUGUGAAAUCCCUCGGCUCAACCGAGGAACUGCGCCCAAAACUACCGUGCUCGAGGGAGAUAGAGGUGAGCGGAACUUAGGGUGGAGCGGUGAAAUGCGUUGAUAUCCUAAGGAACACCGGUGGCGAAAGCGGCUCACUGGAUCUCUUCUGACGCUGAGGCACGAAAGCUAGGGUAGCGAACGGG